AAUGAACGUUGGCGGCGUGGAUUAGGCAUGCAAGUCGAACGGGUCCGGUCUUCGGAUCGGGCCAGUGGCGGAAGGGUGAGUAAGGCGACGGUAACCAACCCCAUGGUCGGGUAUAGCCGCGGGAAACUGCGGGUAAUCCCCAGCGACGUGCGGGGCCGGCAUCGGCCCCUCACCAAAGCUCCGGCGCCGUGGGACGGGCCGUCGUGGUAUUAGCUCGUUGGCGGGGUAACGGCCCACCAAGGCUGUGAUGCCUACCGGGCGCGCGAGCGUGGCCCGGCACACUGGGACUGAGACACUGCCCAGACUCCUACGGGAGGCUGCAGUCGAGAAUCUUCGGCAAUGGGCGCAAGCCUGACCGAGCGACGCCGCGUGGAGGAUGAAGGCCUUCGGGUUGUAAACUCCUGUCGAGGGGGAGGAAGGCAUCGCGAGAUGCUUGACCGAUCCCUGGAGGAAGCACGGGCUAAGUUCGUGCCAGCAGCCGCGGUAAGACGAACCGUGCGAACGUUAUUCGGAAUCACUGGGCUUAAAGCGCGUGUAGGCGGGACGGCACGUCGGUCGCUGAAAGCCCCCGGCUCAACCGGGGAACGGGCGCCGAUACGACCGUCCUGGAGGGACGUAGGGGGACCUGGAACAUCCGGUGGAGCGGUGAAAUGCGUUGAGAUCGGAUGGAACGCCCGUGGCGAAAGCGAGGUCCUGGACGUUUUCUGACGCUGAGACGCGAAAGCCAGGGGAGCGAACGGGAUUAGAUACCCCGGUAGUCCCAGCCCUAAACGAUGGAUACUAGGUGUCGGGGGUAUCGACCCCUCCGUGCCGCCGCUAACGCAGUAAGUAUCCCGCCUGGGGAGUACGGCGCAAGGUGAAA
rnacentral:rRNA from 1 species